rnacentral:rRNA from 1 species
AUUACUCCUACGGGAGGCAGCAGUAAGGAAUAUUGCGCAAUGGGCGAAAGCCUGACGCAGCGACGCCGCGUGGGGGAUGAAGGUCUUCGGAUUGUAAACCCCUUUCGGGAGGGAAGAUGGAGCGAGCAAUCGUUCGGACGGUACCUCCAGAAGCAACCACGGCCAACUUCGUGCCAGCAGCCGCGGUAAUAAU